UAACUCAAUGAUUUUUUGUUUAGCAAAAGGUAUACUUAGACCAACGCCCUAAACUCCACAGAGACACCAUCCCACAUUAAUUCUCCAGGUUGCAGCUGCAUGAUCUUGCUAAAGAAGUGCUUCUGUAGACCUGUGGAUUCCGCAGAGAAUUGUUCAUCUCCCUGUCUUUGAUGUCACUCUCCUAAUUCUUCUGUGCGCUUGAUUUUUCAAGGCUCUAUUCCAUGGACUUCAAAUCACCAACAAGGAGAACACCGUAGUUUCAACUACAACAGUUUGAUGAAUCAACCCCUUAUCCCAUCCCAUUUGCUUGAUCCAGGAAUCUGAAAAAUGUUCAUGCAUCAGAAAAGGGAUGCUGUAUUUCUCCCGGAGGAGGAGAACAAUCCCUGAAGUGGCUGAAUAGGAACUGCAGGUGGCAGGCGACGCGAGAAGAUAUGCCCUCAGGAAAUGGUAGCCGUGCAAGAUGGGUGACUGUCCAUCAGCAGCAAGCAGGAUUCCCUCUGUGGAGUGCAG
rnacentral:lncRNA from 1 species